UUGCGAAUCUUUGAAAGAUGUUUGUCGAAAAAUUGUGGUUGUUUGUCGCGAUUUUUUACUCUGAAAAUUUUGAUUUUUGGAAGGUACGUCUUUAUAAUUAUUUUAUUUGUGACCUUAAUUGUACGAUUUUUGUUUCUAUGUGGUUGUCGUAUCAUGUUUCAGUUAUGUUUAUAAUCUGGCAUUGAAUUACCCUUGGUUUCGGGUCAGUACCCAUGUCACAAAAGUGGCUUUGAUACUCGCCGGGGAUUAAAUGCUUUUUAAAUCAGGAAAUUCAACAUCAUUUACGGCAUCGAAUGCAGGAAGGGUUAUUCUUUCUAUUGAUACUUCAAAACACAAAAAAUCCCCGCGAACUGACGAGUUAUCGCGGUUUGAAAAUGGGGUAUAUUUCGGUGCUAUAAAAGAAAUGGCAUUGAUAUACGCCAGGGGUUAAAUAGUUAAAUCGGGAAAUUCAGUAAAAUUCACAUCAUUGAAUUCGGAAAGGUCAAGGUUUUAGCUGAUACUUUAAAACAUUAACAAUCUCCUCCAACCGACGAGUUAUCGCGGUUUGAAAAUGGGGUAUAUUUCGGGUAUAGUGCACAUGACACGAAAACGGCUUUGAUAUAUGCAGGGGGCUAAAUGGUUUAUAAAUCGGGAAAUUCAAUAAAAUUCACAUUGAUUCAGUAAGGGUUACUCUUUCUCUUAGUACUUUAAAACAUAAAAAGGCCCCUGAAACCGACGAGUAAUCGUUGUUUGAAAAUGGGGUAUUUUGCUUUUGUUGUCGCCAAUCGCGGGAAAAGAGGACUCUACAGGAAAGAUGGCGCGAGCGCGACGUAAACAAGCCAGCUUUUCUAACAUAUUGUUCCCGAUUGUAUCAUUUGUUUUUAUAGAAUUCGAGUUUAUUGGAGCAAAAAAUGGAAUCUAUUAAUGAUGGCGAUGUUGUUAUUGUUGAUCAUGAUUUAGAAAAUGAGGAAACUCAAAUUACUGAUACGCCAAAAAAACCAACAAGAAAAACCUGAAGACUAUAUCUCGUGUGGAAAGUUCAUUCAGUCGAGCUUUCGUUCAUAUAAUGUGCCAUUCCAUUUAAUAUAAGCACCCCCCCCUGUUGAGGGGUCCCUGGGGUAACUUCCACAAUGGGGUAACUUCCAAAAAUCACAUCCAAGGGGGUUCUAAAAUGUUUAUAUCCCCAAGCUACUCUCUAGAAAAAUUUAAGGUAAAAACCCCCUCCCCCCCUAUAGGAUAUCCAGAUUCCAGACCCCUCUAUAGGGAGGGGGAGGCAGCUUAUAUUAAAUUGAAUGGCCCAAUAUUCAAAGUCCUGGCACAUCAGCAAAGGUAUAAUAAAAACAAUUAUGGUAGAUGAAAUUGUACUUAAAACUUUGUUAUUCUUUAUUAUUCUAUUCUUUAAAUUGUAUUUGUAUACAGGGAUGGAUCCAGCAUGAUCUGGUAGGGCGUUCUCUGGUACCGACUGCCGAGUUGUGUUGGUCAUGUGUGUCGCCCGCCCAUCAACUACUGUAUUUGAAUUGUAAUUGUUGUUCACAGUUCACUUAUUAUCAUGUUACUAGAAAAUACAUGCAUGCAGAAACCCUCGCCUUGCUGACAAAACCAUUCCAAAGUUGUUGUCAUGGUAACACGAUAAUUUUUUAAAAAUAUUCUUACAAAUGAAAAAUCGCC